rnacentral:rRNA from 1 species
AGCGGCGGACGGGUGAGUAACGCGUGGGUAACCUGCCUCAUACACAUGGAUAACAUACCGAAAGGUAUGCUAAUACAAGAUGAAAUAAGAGAUUCGUAUGGAUUUCUUAUCAAAGCUCCGGCGGUAUGAGAUGGACCCGCGUCUGAUUAGCUAGUUGGUAAGGUAACGGCUUACCAAGGCGACGAUCAGUAGCCGACCUGAGAGGGUGAUCGGCCACAUUGGAACUGAGACACGGUCCAAACUCCUACGGGAGGCAGCAGUGGGGAAUAUUGCACAAUGGGCGAAAGCCUGAUGCAGCAACGCCGCGUGAGCGAUGAAGGCCUUCGGGUCGUAAAGCUCUGUCCUCAAGGAAGAUAAUGACGGUACUUGAGGAGGAAGCCCCGGCUAACUACGUGCCAGCAGCCGCGGUAAUACGUAGGGGGCUAGCGUUAUCCGGAUUUACUGGGCGUAAAGGGUGCGUAGGUGGUUUCUUAAGUCAGGAGUGAAAGGCUACGGCUCAACCGUAGUAAGCUCUUGAAACUGGGAAACUUGAGUGCAGGAGAGGAAAGUGGAAUUCCUAGUGUAGCGGUGAAAUGCGUAGAUAUUAGGAGGAACACCAGUAGCGAAGGCGGCUUUCUGGACUGUAACUGACACUGAGGCACGAAAGCGUGGGGAGCAAACAGGAUUAGAUACCCUGGUAGUCCACGCCGUAAACGAUGAGUACUAGGUGU